GUAGGUGGCAAGCGUUGUUCGGAAUAACUGGGCGUAAAGGGAACGCAGGCGGUCUUUUAAGUCUGAUGUGAAAGCCUUCGGCUUAACCGGAGUAGUGCAUUGGAAACUGGGAGACUUGAGUGCAGAAGAGGAGAGUGGAACUCCAUGUGUAGCGGUGAAAUGCGUAGAUAUAUGGAAGAACACCAGUGGCGAAGGCGGCUCUCUGGUCUGUAACUGACGCUGAGGCUCGAAAGCAUGGGUAGCGA
rnacentral:rRNA from 1 species